CCUACGGGUGGCAGCAGUGAGGAAUAUUGGUCAAUGGGCGGAAGCCUGAACCAGCCAAGUCGCGUGAGGGAGUAAGGCCCUACGGGUCGUAAACCUCUUUUGCCGGGGAGCAGUGCCCAGCUCGUGAGCUGGGAGGGAGCGUACCCGGAGUAAAAGCCUCGGCUAACUCCGUGCCAGCAGCCGCGGUAAUACGGAGGAAGCGAGCGUUAUCCGGAUUUAUUGGGUUUAAAGGGUGCGUAGGCGGGCCUUCAGGCCGGCGGUAAAAGUGCGGGGCUCAACCCCGCCGAGCCCUCGGAACCGGGGGCAUUGAGUACCGAAGAAGUACGGGGAAUGCGUGGGGUAGCGGUGAAAGGCAUAGAUAUCACGCAGAACCCCGAUUGCGAAGGCAGCGUACCGGCCGGUCACUGACGCUGAGGCACGAAAGCGCGGGUAUCGAACAGGAUUAGAUACCCGUGUAGUC
rnacentral:rRNA from 1 species